rnacentral:rRNA from 1 species
GGAUUAGAUACCCUGGUAGUUCACGCCGUAAACGAUGGGUGCUAGUUGUCGGGCAACGAGUUGUUCGGUGACGUAGUUAACGCGUUAAGCACCCCGCCUGGGGAGUACGGCCGCAAGGUUAAAACUCAAAGAAAUUGACGGGGGCCCGCACAAGCGGUGGAGCAUGUGGUUUAAUUCGAAGCAACGCGCAGAACCUUACCAGCCCUUGACAUAGAGGUCGCGGAUUAGAGAGAUCUUUUCCUUCAGUUCGGCUGGACCUCAUACAGGUGCUGCAUGGCUGUCGUCAGCUCGUGCCG